CCGGGUGCUUCCCCGUGGCUUGGCUCGCGGCGGCUUCCGGCCAACGUCCUCAAGGGCAUCCUUGGCGAAUCCGGCAGCCCCUUCCGGCUCCUUUCCUUACUCCUGGGAGCACCGAACACGGUGGCUCUCUUCCUGGAAAUGCGUUUCUCCCUCAGCAUCUUCCAAGACCAACUCCUCUCCUGGUUCCUGUCCUGCCUCCCUGGCUGCCGCCUCACUCUGCAGCGUCUCCCAGCAACGCUUCGAGGCCUGCACGAUGAUUAUCCCCACCUUGUAAAUGACGACACUGAGGAACAGAAGAAGUAACUCGCCAAGGUCACACAGCUGCCUCAUUCCCAGGAUGGUUUGAGGAAGCCGUGCAGUGUGGCCACCAAAGAUGCUCUGAUAAAUCGUGACUUGGUGGCCUUGUAAUUGACACCUUGAUGAUGUGGCGCUGUGGGAUCAUUACACAUAGGGUGACCAGCUUGUGACGGUGUUCUUGGAGGCUCCCAGCUUUAAAACUGAAAGUUCUUGGGGUGCCUGGGUGGCUCAGUCGGGUAAGCGUCUGCCUUCAACUCAGCUCAUGAUCUUGUGGUUCGUGAGGUUGAGCCCUGCAUCGGGCUGUCUGCGGUCAGCACAGAGCCUGCUUC